AUUGAACGCUGGCGGCAGGCUUAACACAUGCAAGUCGAGCGAGCGGCGGACGGGUGAGUAAUGUCUGGGAAACUGCCUGCUGGAGGGGGAUAACUACUGGAAACGGUAGCUAAUACCGCAUACCCUCAGAUGUGCCCAGAUGGGAUUAGCUAGUAGGUGGGGUAAUGGCUCACCUAGGCGCCGAUCCCUAGCUGGUCUGAGAGGAUGACCAGCCAGCCGGGAACUGAGACACGGUCCAGACUCUGACGGGAGGCAGCAGUGGGGAAUAUUGCACAAUGGGCGCAAGCCGGAUGCAGCCAUGCCGCGUGUGUGAAGAAGGCCUUCGGGUUGUAAAGCACGUUAAGCGAGGAGGCGUUACUCGCAGAAGAAGCACCGGCUAACUCCGUGCCAGCAGCCGCGGUAAUAC
rnacentral:rRNA from 1 species